rnacentral:rRNA from 1 species
UAGAGGAGUGCUCGAAAGAGAGCCGUAACACAGGUGCUGCAUGGCUGUCGUCAGCUCGUGUCGUGAGAUGUUGGGUUAAGUCCCGCAACGAGCGCAACCCUUUGUCAUUAGUUGCUACAUUCAGUUGGGCACUCUAAUGAGACUGCCGGUGACAAACCGGAGGAAGGUGGGGAUGACGUCAAGUCCUCAUGGCCCUUAUAGGUGGGGCUACACACGUCAUACAAUGGAUGGUACAAAGGGUCGCCAACCCGCGAGGGGGGAGCCAAUCCCAUAAAGCCAUUCGUAGUCCGGAUCGCAGUCUGCAACUCGACUGCGUGAAGUCGGAAUCGCUAGUAAUCGUGGAUCAGAAUGUCACGGUGAAUACGUUCCCGGGUCUU